AAUAGUUAAAAUUAACAUUUAAUUUGCAUUUAAAAAAUAUUGAAAAAUCAAUUUAUCUUA
rnacentral:tRNA from 1 species